rfam:Otolemur garnettii contig168902, whole genome shotgun sequence.
GCUGGGCGUUGUGGCGGGCGCCUGUGGUCCCAGCUACUUGGGAGGCAGAGGCAGGAGACUCGCUUGAGCCCAGGAGUUGGAGGUUGCUGUGAGCUGUAAUGCCACGGCACUCUACCCAGGGGGACAGCUUGAGGCUCUGUCUCAAAAAAAAAAAAAAAAGAAAAGCUUUUCUAUUUCUCACUUUGUCACCCUUGGUAGAGAGCCAUGGUGUCACAACUCACAGCAACCUCCAACUCCUGGGCUUAAGCGAUUCUCUUGCCUCAG